CUAAGGCUAAAUACUCUCUAGUGACCGAUAGUGAACCAGUACCGUGAGGGAAAGGUGAAAAGCACCCCGGAAGGGGAGUGAAAUAGAACCUGAAACCGUGUGCUUACAAGUAGUCAGAGCCCGUUAAUGGGUGAUGGCGUGCCUUUUGUAGAAUGAACCGGCGAGUUACGAUUUGAUGCAAGGUUAAGCAGUAAAUGUGGAGCCGUAGCGAAAGCGAGUCUGAAUAGGGCGUUUAGUAUUUGGUCGUAGACCCGAAACCAGGUGAUCUACCCUUGGUCAGGUUGAAGUUCAGGUAACACUGAAUGGAGGACCGAACCGACUUACGUUGAAAAGUGAGCGGAUGAACUGAGGGUAGCGGAGAAAUUCCAAUCGAACCUGGAGAUAGCUGGUUCUCUCCGAAAUAGCUUUAGGGCUAGCCUCAAGUGAUGAUUAUUGGAGGUAGAGCACUGUUUGGACGAGGGGCCCCUCUCGGGUUACCGAAUUCAGACAAACUCCGAAUGCCAAUUAAUUUAACUUGGGAGUCAGAACAUGGGUGAUAAGGUCCGUGUUCGAAAGGGAAACAGCCCAGACCACCAGCUAAGGUCCCAAAAUAUAUGUUAAGUGGAAAAGGAUGUGGCGUUGCCCAGACAACUAGGAUGUUGGCUUAGAAGCAGCCAUCAUUUAAAGAGUGCGUAAUAGCUCACUAGUCGAGUGACACUGCGCCGA
rnacentral:rRNA from 1 species